UACGGAGGGGGCGAACGUUGUUCGGAAUUACUGGGCGUAAAGGGUGCGUAGGCGGCCUGGUUAGUCUGGUGUGAAAUCUCCUCGCUCAACGAGGAAGCUGCACUGGAAACUGCCGGGCUCGAGAGUGGGAGAGGCAGGUGGAAUUCCUGGUGUAGCGGUGGAAUGCGUAGAUAUCAGGAAGAACACUCGUGGCGAAGGCGGCCUGCUGGCCCACUUCUGACGCUGAUUCACGAAAGCCAGGGGAGCGAACGGG
rnacentral:rRNA from 1 species